AAGUCGUAACAAGGUUUCCGUAGGUGAACCUGCGGAAGGAUCAUUACUAGAGCAAAGGAUAGACAGCGCCCGCGGAGCCUUGCUCCCUGGGGCUACCCUACUUCGGUAAGGUUUAGAGUCGUCGGGCCUCUCGAAGAAGCUCGGUCCUGAACUCCACCCUUGAAUAAAUUACCUUUGUUGCUUUGGCGGGCCGCCUGGUGCCAGCGGCUUCGGCUGUUGCGUGCCCGCCAGAGGACCACAACUCUUGUUUUUAGUGAUGUCUGAGUACUAUAUAAUAGUUAAAACUUUCAACAACGGAUCUCUUGGUUCUG
rnacentral:misc_RNA from 1 species